AACGAACGCUGGCGGCAUGCCUAACACAUGCGAGUCGAACGAGACCUUCGGGUCUAGUGGCGCACGGGUGCGUAACGCGUGGGAACCUGCCCUUAGGUUCGGAAUAACUCCCCGAAAGGGGUGCUAAUACCGGAUAAUGUCUUCGGACCAAAGAUUUAUCGCCUUUGGAUGGGCCCGCGUUGGAUUAGCUAGUUGGUAGGGUAAAAGCCUACAAAGGCGACGAUCCAUAGCUGGUCUGAGAGGAUGAUCAGCCACACUGGGACUGAGACACGGCCCAGACUCCUACGGGAGGCAGCAGUGGGGAAUAUUGGACAAUGGGCGAAAGCCUGAUCCAGCAAUGCCGCGUGAGUGAUGAAGGCCUUAGGGUUGUAAAGCUCUUUUACCCGGGAUGAUAAUGACAGUACCGGGAGAAUAAGCGCCGGCUAACUCCGUG
rnacentral:rRNA from 1 species